CGUAGAUCCGUGGAUAGCUACCCCGGUUUCCUUUGUCUUGGCUAGAUGGUCCGUUGAUCAAAUCUUGUUUCCUUGUCAAGUUGAGAAACAGGCAGGUUGAGUCCCAUCUCUUUUCAUCUAGUCAUGAUCAGGAGUCGUCCCAGUGCUGCUGGCAUUCCAGACUGACACAUCUCCCCAUCUUUAAUUCAGGCCCUGCCCAUCCAAAGGGUCCUCCAGAACGACUGUGCCUGCAGGCAAGCUCCAGGCCUUGACUCCCGACAACACCUCUUGAGUGAAGGUCUCCACUCCAAUUCUGCCCUGGACUCUCAGCAAGAUGUAUAUUAGAAACACGCAAGAGCACACAGACAGCAGCUCAGCAAGAAAAAUGCCAUCUACAACUGCUUUACGUUAUUGAGGCAAGUAGUAACCUGUACAUUUUUUUUUCUUGAUCUCAAAUGCAUUUGUACUUGGUCUUGCUUCUGUCUUAGACCUGGCAGACUCUGUAUUUCUAUUCAAGACUAGUCAAGACCGUCAGAGAACACUUGGUAAAAGAAGGAUCCUGGCUUUAUGUUCAGUUUUAGGCGUUUCCAACUGAAUAAGGUUUCUUAAGGCUGUUUUUAGUCAGACUGAUGUUGUUUUUUUUAGCUGACAAUUGGUUAACUGGUUAACCAAUGUGAGUUUGAGACACCUUAUAUAAACUGUUUUGGUCUUGUCUCAGUCUCGCCCACCAAAUAUCUUGGUCUCGUCUUGGUCUUGAUCUCCAAAUGCAUCUGUCUUAUCUCAGUUUUGACACUCUCCAGUCUUGAUGAUGUCUUGGUCAUGACUGAUGUGGUCUUCACUUGCAACACUAGUGAGUGUAGCAUGAAAUCCAAUGCAAC